UAUACAUUAUUUGAUUCCACUGAAGGUGGGUUUUUUUUUUUUGCUGUUUUUGCUUUGGUAUAAAAUUUUGGUUUACAGAGCUUUACCUGGGGAAGGGGCCAGAAAAUUUAAGGUAACAUAUUGGGAACUAUAAGUAAUUGAACAUUCUUUAAUUCCCAACUUAAAUUUCACUCCUGAGUGAAACCUUCCCAGGUUUCCUGGUCAGAAUCCCUGUGUCAACAAUUCAGAAGGAAACUGAAUCACUGCAAUCAUUCUUAGAAGAAUAUUUAUUAAUAUAUUACAAAAGCAAUUAUGUACGACUUCAGAAACUAAUGCAUCACAUAAGGUUGUAUGCAGGUGUACCGUCUGUGAGGUAAUAAAACACUAAAUCUGUAUCAUUCUGCAUGACAGAAUGAAAAACCUACAAAUACCAGUACUCUUGACCUUCCAGUUUAAACCUCAUAUUUAUGUCCAGCAUCCUGGAAAUAAGCAGGGGUAGAGAACUGAUUUCAUUGCAUUUGCUUCUAUAGGUGCACUAUUCAUCUGCUCUUACUAGAAAAACUUCAAUUAUGGUUUGGUGAGAAAACACUGAGCUAAGAAAACAGAAAAAGCUGGUUUUGAAAGUGAAUUUUUUUCAUUUUUGGGGGGCAAACAUAACUCUGGAAGGAUAUUCCCUGAAGCAGUCUGACUAUCAAUAUCCUUCUUGGCCACAGUCAAGAUCAUAUUUAGAAGGAGGCAUGUGAUAGGCUUCUGGAAGAACACAGCAUGGGGCCCACAAGGACAUCUACAUUCUAGAGACUACAGGUUCUUCUCAGAAGAUUCCACAUCCUACAUCCAGGGUGAAACUAGAGAAAGAAAAAUAUACAAUGAAAAUAGUGUAGAAGGACAUAGAAGAAACCAUUAGAACAGCAGUUCUCAACCAGAGGUGAUUUUUGUUUCCUCCCCCCUUCCACUUCAGGGAAUAUCUGAUAAUGUCUGGAGAUAUUU
rnacentral:lncRNA from 1 species